rnacentral:rRNA from 1 species
AAUAACCUACCUAUAAGACUGGGAUAACUUCGGGAAACCGGAGCUAAUACCGGAUAAUAUAUUGAACCGCAUGGUUCAAUAGUGAAAGACGGUUUUGCUGUCACUUAUAGAUGGAUCCGCGUCGCAUUAGCUAGUUGGUAAGGUAACGGCUUACCAAGGCAACGAUGCGUAGCCGACCUGAGAGGGUGAUCGGCCACACUGGAACUGAGACACGGUCCAG